rnacentral:rRNA from 1 species
AUACGUAGGGUGCAAGCGUUAAUCGGAAUUACUGGGCGUAAAGCGUGCGCAGGCGGUUUUGUAAGACAGAGGUGAAAUCCCCGGGGUCAACCUGGGAACUGCCUUUUUGACUGCAAGGCUAGAGUACGGCAGAGGGGGAUGGCAUUCCGCGUGUAGCAGUGAAAUGCGUAGAUAUGCGGAGGAACACCGAUGGCGAAGGCAAUCCCCUGGGCCUGUACUGACGCUCAUGCACGAAAGCGUGGGGAGCAAACAGGAUUAGAUACCCUGGUAGUCCACGCCCUAAACGAUGUCAACUGGUUGUUGGGUCUUCAUUGACUCAGUAACGAAGCUAACGCGUGAAGUUGACCGCCUGGGGAGUACGGCCGCAAGGUUGAAACUCAAAUGAAUGGGCGGGG